GUCAACAUAGUUUAACAAAAACAUUAGGAUGUGGAUCUAAAAACAGAAGCUAGGACCUUCUUGUUGAC
rnacentral:tRNA from 1 species